GACGAACGCUGGCGGCGUGCUUAACACAUGCAAGUCGAACGGAAAGGCCCUGCUUGCAGGGUACUCGAGUGGCGAACGGGUGAGUAACACGUGGGUGAUCUGCCCUGCACUUCGGGAUAAGCCUGGGAAACUGGGUCUAAUACCGGAUAGGAGCCAUUUUUAGUGUGAUGGUUGGAAAGUUUUUUCGGUGUAGGAUGAGCUCGCGGCCUAUCAGCUUGUUGGUGGGGUAAUGGCCUACCAAGGCGGCGACGGGUAGCCGGCCUGAGAGGGUGGACGGCCACAUUGGGACUGAGAUACGGCCCAGACUCCUACGGGAGGCAGCAGUGGGGAAUAGUGCACAAUGGGCGCAAGCCUGAUGCAGCGACGCCGCGUGGGGGAUGACGGCCUUCGGGUUGUAAACUCCUUUCGCUAGGGACGAAGCUUUUGUGACGGUACCUAGAGAAGAAGCACCGGCUAACUACGUG
rnacentral:rRNA from 1 species